rnacentral:rRNA from 1 species
AGUGAACGCUGGCGGCAGGCCUAAUACAUGCAAGUCGAACGGCAGCACAGUGGAGCUUGCUCCAUGGGUGGCGAGUGGCGGACGGGUGAGGAAUACAUGGGAAUCUGCCCAGUCGUGGGGGAUAACGUAGGGAAACUUACGCUAAUACCGCAUGCGCCCUUCGGGGGAAAGCCGGGGACCUUCGGGCCUGGCGCGAUUGGAUGAGCCCAUGUUCGAUUAGCUAGUUGGCGGGGUAAAGGCCCACCAAGGCGACGAUCGAUAGCUGGUCUGAGAGGAUGAUCAGCCACACUGGGACUGAGACACGGCCCAGACUCCUACGGGAGGUAGCAGUAGGGAAUAUUGGACAAAGGGCGCAAGCCUGAUCCAGCCAUGCCGCGUGAGUGAAGAAGGCCCUCGGGUUGUAAAGCUCUUUUGUCCGGGAAGAAAAGCAUCGGGCUAAUACCUCGGUGUUCUGACGGUACCGGAAGAAUAAGCACCGGCUAACUUCGUG